rnacentral:rRNA from 1 species
GAUGAACGCUGGCGGCGUGACUUAACACAUGCAAGUCGAACGGACUUUUGUUGAAGCCUAGCGAUAUAAAAGUUAGUGGCGGACGGGUGAGUAACGCGUGAAUAACCUGCCUUAUACUGGGGGACAACAGUUGGAAACGACUGCUAAUACCGCAUAAGCGCACGGUUCUGCAUGGAACAGUGUGAAAAACUCCGGUGGUAUAAGAUGGAUUCGCGUCUGAUUAGAUAGUUGGUGAGGUAACGGCUCGACCAAGUCGACGAUCAGUAGCCGGCCUGAGAGGGUGAACGGCCACAUUGGGACUGAGACACGGCCCAAACUCCUACGGGAGGCAGCAGUGGGGAAUAUUGGGCAAUGGGCGCAAGCCUGACCCAGCAACGCCGCGUGAGGGAAGAAGGUCUUCGGAUCGUAAACCUAUGUCGCAGAGGACGAGUAGAAGACGGUACUCUGCAAGGAAGCCCCGGCUAACUACGUG